rnacentral:lncRNA from 1 species
CUCUCCGACCUUGCUGCCCUCCUCCUUUGUCACUGUGGAGAAACAGGAAGGAAUGUUUAUUAGCAAGACUGACUGGGGUCACACCCAAGGCAAUUUCAGAUUUUUACCUCUCCCGGCCCUGGGAAGAAGUUCAAGGAUCAAGGACAAGCU